UUUCCGUAGGUGAACCUGCGGAAGGAUCAUUAAAAAAAAGGAUGCGCUCCGGCGCAUAGCUCCUCUCAGCCCCUUGCCGUGAGGUGGGGGCUUGAUUGAGUCCUUAACCCUUUGUGAACUUUAUACCUUUUGCUUCGGCAGCACGCCCUCCCUUGGGAGGGUUGGUAAGGCUGCCGAUAGCCCAUUUUAAACCAUUUUAAUUUUAAAUCAUGAAGUCUGAUUACUGUUAAAUUUAAAACAAGUUAAAACUUUCAGCAACGGAUCUCUUGGUUCUC
rnacentral:misc_RNA from 1 species